rnacentral:lncRNA from 10 species
GGUUUUGAACUCCAGGCUGGUUUUGGCCCCAAGUGAUCUGCCCACCUUGGCCUCCCAAAGUGCUGGUAUUACACAUGUAAGCCACCAUGCACAGACUUAAUUUUAUUUCUUAUAAUGUGUUAUGGCCUGUAGGGUGGUUAUUCUGACAGGCUGGAAAGUGUAGUCCCCAGCCAAAGACAGAAGCAGGCACUUUGAGGAAGUGGAGGGUGGAACAGGGAUUUAUGUUGAAUGGGUUGACCAAGUAUACGUAUUCAACAGGUUACAGGAGGCAUAUAAAUAUUCAUGAAUGUGUUCCUAAUGCAUGUGUACUGAAUAAAUAUGCCUGUUACAUACAGCCCAUAUUCAUUCUGGGGUGGAGACAACAUUCAAAUGUAUUACAGUUAGGCCAUAUAUGUCAAAAGGUGAAACAGGGACACGAAGGCACUCAAGUGCACAGCCUCUGUGAACAGUGCAUGCUGGUGGUCUUCUUAUUAGGAGAAAGUUACUGAAAUCAGUCUCUUGUCCAAUCAAAGCUGCAUUUAUAGCUUGUGGAACAAGGGCCUCAGUUAGUCACUGUCUGGCGAUGGAUGAACUGUAAUGGUUUUAAUAGUGAUUAUCUUGAGGCCAGCGCUUGAUUAGCUGCUAGAAAAAAAAAAAAAAACCUUGUGGUAGUUAGAACAUAAUUUGUUUUUUAAGUGUAGAGAUGUGUGAUUCAACCCUUGCCUGGCACAGCCUUAGGUCUCAUUUAUAGUUUGGUGUCUUAAUGCUAUAAGGAGUCUGUUCUGUCAGUCUCAUGAUCCCUAUUGUAAUAAUAAUGCUAGUCAGUCAUGUUUAAACUGCAAAAGGGAGUAGGUAUAACAAGCUAUGUCUGACCUCCUGUCUUGUCAUAGCUAGGAACUCAGGUUUCUCUGGGGUCCCCUUGGCCAAUAGAGGGUCCAUUCAAUUGGUUGGAGGCCUUAGGAUUUUAUUUUUAGUUCUCAUACCCCUUGAUGUUUUUGCAAACAGAAUGUUUGACUCAGAUGAAAACGUAUUACAAUACAAUUUCAUUAUGGCUAUGAUAUGAGAAGGAAACAUAAUCUACUUUCAGACAGAAUACUCCAAGAAAGGCCAUUCUUCUGUUGCGAUCAGCUCUGGGCUUCCUGUCACCACCCAGCUUGCCCCUAUCUGCUUGGGACUGCCUAAUCAGCCAGAAGACCACAAAAAAGGGCACUCAUCCUUUGUCACCUGAAACAGGACAGAUGUGAAGCACUUUCAACAACUUGUGCUUGAGGCCUGGGAUUCUGUAGAGCAUGUUCCAGUGUACAAGAGGAUUCAAGUCCCUGGCAGCCUGCUUUCUAUCCAAAGCUGGGUCACCUCUCUUGGGACCACCAGGACAUUGAAUUGCUUUCCCAUUCCUGUGGACUUCUGAAAUGGGCCCACCUGAGACAAGAACCCAGAGUGCCUAGCACCUUUAGGCUGGGCACAGAACCACCCACCUAGGAACCGAUGACUGCAACCCAGGAGGAGACACAGAUGCCCCCAGAGAUGCCCCCAAGUCACAGCCUCCCUUGAGCCCUGCCAAUGCACUCCCUAACUGCCUCACUUGGCUGGAUCACCCUGCUCCAGGAACAGACAACUGGAGCCUGAGAAAUCAGAUGAUGGAGACCUACCAAGCAUCACCCUCCUCCUGCCUCCCAACAGCCACCACCCAGUGUUCCAAGUCUUGUUGGGAGUAGAGCCCAGGAGCAGUGGCUGAGUUGAUGCAAGGCUGCCUCUGCCACCUGCCUUUGGCCUCCUUGAGAUUUCUUUCACUGAGACUCUUCAAUGGGUGAUCCUGUGCCAAAAGGUUCCUGGAUGCUGUUCCAGGUGUUGAAGAAGGGUCAACCUAGGAUCAGUAUGGUGGCUUAUGCUGAACUGGGAAGAUGCAUGAGGAAGAAGCAGAGAGAACCAAGCAGUCACUUCGCAAGGCCAAUUCUGGAAGAGCACAUUUGGGGAAAAUGGGCUUAAGUAGAGCCAGGAAAGUUCUAGUGGAAAGACAGGAUUGGUCCAAAUGAAUUGAGUCUCCUAACUGGUGAGGCCAAUUCUGGAUGAGCAGAUUUGUGAGAAAUGGGCAAGGCCUUCCCUCUUCCAGGAUAUGUGGGUUUCCUUCAUCACAGUGGCCACCACAUGAAUUUCUAGGAUGAAGGGGUCAAAAUCUCCUGGCAACCUUGAGCUUAAAUUGUGUUUGUGUAACACCUUCCCUAAGGUUCCAAUAAAAUUACUAGGGGGUUUUACAGAGUGAAGUAGAAGGGACUGACAAAGACCCUCCUUGACCAAACCCUAGACACAGUCUCCUCACCCCUUUCCCACCUAUGCUUGGACCUUGGACAUUGCC